rnacentral:rRNA from 1 species
GAUAUUUAAAUAGCCGCAAUUUGUGCUAAGGUAGCAUAAUCAUUUGUCUUUUAAAUGAAGACUAGAACAAAAGAUUUAAUAUUUAAGAUUAUUUAUUUAAUAUUUUCAACUCAAAUUAUUUUAAAUGUAAAAAAACACUUAUAAAUUGGAAAGACGACAAGACCCUUUUGAACUUAACUUGAGUUUAACUGGGGUAGUUAAUUAAUUAUUAUUUUAAUAAUAAUUUUUAUAAAAAUAUCCAAACAUUUGAAUUAUUCAGUUACCACAGGGAUAACAGCGCAAUUUUAUUUUAAAGUUCUUAUAUAAAAAAUAGAUUACGACCUCGAUGUUGAAUUAAUAACCUAAUUAAAGCAAGAUUUAAAAAAGGAAGUCUGUUCGACUUUUAAACAAUUACAUGAUUUGAGUUCAGACCGGUAUAAGCCAGGUCGGUUUCCAUCUUCCAAAAAUCUUCUUACAGUACGAAAGGGCCUAAGAAUUUAAUUUAAUUAAAUUAAUUGGCAGAAAAAUGCAUUAGAAUUAGAAUCUAAUAAAACUAGU